CUUGAAACUGCUUUUCCCAGAUGUUUUCAAAGAAAACAGCUUUGCCAUUUUGCUCCUAAAAAAGUGGCUGAAAACAACAUUUCCUGGCUCUUUUCCAACAUGAAAAAAAGGGGAAAAAUCAUAGAUGAUGUCGACACAUAUCAAGACAAAUUCCAUCCAGUGAGGACGAUGAGUUUCGAGUCAGUCCUGCAUUUUAUGUUCCCUGCUCAGUUUCUACUUAUUUCAGACUUUUCUGUGACUGCCUUUUGCUCCUGGCUUUUUGUUUCCAGCCUUCAUCAUCGACUGUAAUCUUGGAUUCUAGUUUCAGGACGAUCAGUUUAUCAUCAAAGCUCCGAUUCUGUUGCUACCUGCCUGACUUCAUGUGUCUCCUGUUUGGGUCCCAAAAAACAUGCUCAUGCAGCAUUUCCUCCUCUCGGAAAAGUUCUCCUUAAACAUGAUUUUCACAAGACACAGUAGAAACCACAUGUCAUGCUGCUUCCUCUACAGCACACGUCCAUCUUCAUCUUCACCAUCAUCAAACAUGCUGGUUUGAAGCUGCACGUUUCAUGACACGUCCUUCCUAUAAAUAAAUAAAACAGUCUUUAACGUGAACGUUUAUGAGGGAUGAAAGUUUAUGGAUGGAACGUCGAGUCUCAUGUUCCCCAUGUGACAUGAUGAUGACUGGGGGGACUUUUAAACUAUGAAUUUAUAUUUAUAACCUGAGUUUUUACUGUGUUUACUGUUGACUCCGUGUUCGUUGACCUUCACCGCUUGAACAUGAGCUGAUCUGUGAUCUGUGAGUCGUAACGAGAAGUGAUGCUGAACAGUUUGUCUCCGGCACGUUUAUGACUGAUAACAUAUGAAGAAAUGUUUCUGCUGACGGUUUCUGGUCCUGCAUGCUACACACGAAAAACCAAACUAAUGAAGAUAACAUGUUUAACACUGAUAAAUACACCUCAGUCAUCAGCA